ACGCUCGACACCUACGGGAGGCAGCAGUGAGGGAUAUUGGUCAAUGGGGGAAACCCUGAACCAGCAACGCCGCGUGAGGGAUGACGGCCUGGUUGUAACCUCUGUCCUCUGUGAAGAUAAUGACGGUAGCAGAGGAGGAAGCUCCGGCUAACUACGUGCCAACAGCCGCGGUAAUCUGAGCGGGCGUGGCGAAGGC
rnacentral:rRNA from 1 species